rnacentral:lncRNA from 1 species
UGGUGGUGGACGGUAUGAGCAGGAAGAUGAUUAUAAGAAGCCUCCUAGUGGUGGUGGUGGCUAUGGUGGAGGAAGGUAUGAAGAGGAUGAUGGGUAUAAGAAGAAGCCUAGUGCUGGUGGAUAUGGAGAUGGAGGAAGAUAUGAAGAUGAGUUCAAGAAGAAGCCAACUGGUGGUCAUGGUGGAGGGAGGUAUGAGGAAGAUGACGAGUACAAGAAGCCUAGUGGUGGAAGAUAUGAAGAAGAUGACUACAAGAAGAAGCCUGCGCAUUCAGGGGGAAGGUACGAGGAAGAUGAGGGGUACAAGAAGCCUAGUGGCCAUGGAGGAGGGAGGUAUAGUAAGGAGGAGAAUGAAGAGGAUAACAAGAAAAAACAUGGUGGCCGCCAUGAC